GGCCCCCCUUAAACACCCCUAAGCCACCCGCUCCUUCCCGGAAACCCUGCCGGGGGCCUCGUCCUCCUACAGGGGAACCUCUGCCAGCUCGGCUCCCACGUCGCUCCGGCCCACCAGGUCCUUCAGGGCAUGCCCCUUGCAGUACCCGUCGAAGAAUCAAUCUAGCUUCUCCUCGGCGGCAGGGUUGUAAUCCUUGAACGCGGCCAAGUCGAAGCCAGGCAAGUUGAGGCCCUUCACCUGGUCCAGAGCUCGCGUGAAGCCGACCUGGAGGAUGGGCUGGUUGAGGAGGGCCACGUCCUC
rnacentral:lncRNA from 1 species